rnacentral:lncRNA from 1 species
AACAAUUUGUUAUUUAGAUUCGGCGUCUAAUCCUCAGUUUUACUCAUCUAUAUGCCAUAUUUGUAAAUGAAUAUUCUUCUUUUGUUUAUGGGAUCCAACCAAUAAUGGUUCCAUGGUGACACUGGUGUGGUGAAAUAGGAACUUUCUAUGAGUCUAAGAUUUGCUAAGAUUUGCUGACUAUGAGACCUCCACUAAGGACAGAUAUUCAAAGAAGCCCCCAGCCCUCAAGGAGUCCACAUUGUCAUGGGGCACCCAGGAAAAGGAACACUUGGAAAACAUUUUGGUUAGUGGUAUAAAAGAGGUUUCCUCCUGUGCCUUUUCUCCCACCAUCCACAUAUACUUUGUCGUGGACCCCGUUCUUUCCACCUGCUUAGCCUUCCAUACUCCUUCUCUUCAGGGACUCCAAUUUUUCCUGGUGCAUCCUGCCUUCCCAAUUAGGACCUGUCAUUUGAAGUAUACCAGGCUGCCAUUCAAGGUGACUAGACUCCUUUAACCAAGGGGCAAGUACAUGACCCAAUAUAGGCUAACUGAUUCUCCCUCUCGGGAUCUUGAAACUUAGAAGCUUAAGGACGGAAAGUGGUUGGAGGCUUCAUUCCCUUGGCUGUAUCCUGAAGAGACUAUCCAAUCUGCCUUCAUGACUGGUUCUUCUUUUCCUGGUUGUGCAAGAAGCCUGGUUAUUCAAGUGUCCUUGUGAGGUACUUCAUCCCGUAUCUUUCCAAUAAAUUCCUUUAGAAAUGUGGUUUAUGUUGCUUAAAAUGAAUGAAGCUUUGAUAUGGUAUCAUUCAAUAUGAAGAGCUCUCCCUGGCCGUCCUUAUUCUGGUCCUCCCUCCAUCCUUUCCUCGUAUAAAUUUCAUUCUAUUUUCUGUCAUUCUCUCCAUUUUUACUCUAGGGUAUGGUGAUGGCCGUUUGAGGGAGAGUCUUGGCCCAAUGGAGGCAGACCUGGGUUUUCCCUUUAUUACAUUAAUCACAUUGGGUAGGAAUUUGAAGAACUAUCAUCUGUACGAUCAUUUCGAACUAUCAUUUGAAGAACUCUCAUCUACCGCACAUAUGUUACCUCAUUUAAUUAUUAUGCAGGAGAAAAGACAAAAAUGGAAAUAACACAAGAGAGCAGCAUCAUUCUCUCCCGUCCUACUGGGCCUCUCAAGCUUUGCUCCCAGCUGUGGCAACAAGGAACGGCAUGGUAGGGCCAGGUUUUUGGGCGGCACUUCUUUACAGUUAUACAAAUAAAUUUUUAUUUCUACCUGUAACUGAUGGGAAUAUUGACCUAUUUAAAACAAUAUGCAUUAAAUAAGAGGCUUUUAUUAUUUAUUAAAAAUACAAAUCAGAGAAUAUGGUUUUAAAAAAUAUGACAAAUGGCAUUUAGAUUAUUGAGACUUGAAAUGUUCACCAUGGUUCCUGACUCACUUCUAGUAGUCAUGUAGUGGCAGACGUUGUUAACAGAAAG